UACGUAGGGUGCGAGCGUUGUCCGGAAUUAUUGGGCGUAAAGAGCUUGUAGGCGGUUUGUCGCGUCUGCUGUGAAAUCUCAAGGCUCAACCUUGAGCUUGCAGUGGGUACGGGCAGACUAGAGUGUGGUAGGGGAGAUCGGAAUUCCUGGUGUAGCGGUGAAAUGCGCAGAUAUCAGGAGGAACACCGGUGGCGAAGGCGGAUCUCUGGGCCUUACCUGACGCUCAGGUGCGAAAGCUAGGGGAGCGAACAGG
rnacentral:rRNA from 1 species